GCGAUUAUGUGAUUGGCUGACACAUGUGCUGUGUGAUUGCCACCCGGAAGUGCUGGAAUCAGGUCGCAUUUAAUGACCAGGGAGCACUGAAGGAGGCUGUCUCACAACAUGAACACCCCUGGUACAGAUGAUCAUGUAAUCAAGAAAAUUGCAACUAAAAUUGCUAAAAUGAAAAAGAGGCAUCGGAAAACGAUCAUGGAAUGCCGAGCCACAAUCAGAAAAUCCCAGAAGUUGCUUCAGGAAUUCCAUGACCAAUAUAGAGAGGACCUGAAGGAACUUGCAGACUUGCAGGAACAACUGCAAAACUUGCCUUAAACUUUUUUUUUAUUAAAAAAGUUUUCUUCAGUUAAA